rnacentral:rRNA from 1 species
AACGAACGCUGGCGGCAGGCCUAACACAUGCAAGUCGAACGCCCUCUUCGGAGGGAGUGGCAGACGGGUGAGUAACGCGUGGGAACGUGCCCAUCGGUAAGGAAUAACUUAGGGAAACUUAAGCUAAUACCGUAUACGCCCUUCGGGGGAAAGAUUUAUCGCCGAUGGAUCGGCCCGCGUUAGAUUAGCUAGUUGGUGAGGUAAUGGCUCACCAAGGCUACGAUCUAUAGCUGGUCUGAGAGGAUGAUCAGCCACACUGGAACUGAGACACGGUCCAGACUCCUACGGGAGGCAGCAGUGAGGAAUAUUCGGCAAUGGGCGCAAGCCUGACCGAGCCAUGCCGCGUGAAUGAUGAAGGCCUUAGGGUUGUAAAGUUCUUUCAACGGUGAAGAUAAUGACGGUAACCGUAGAAGAAGCCCCGGCUAACUUCGUGCCAGCCGCCGCAGUAAGAC